rnacentral:rRNA from 1 species
UCAAGCUGUAAAGGGCGCAAGGGGAAUGCCUUGGCACUGAGAGCCGACGAAGGACGCGACAAGCUGCGAUAAGCUACGGGGAGCCGCAAAUGGGCUUUGAUCCGUGGAUUUCCGAAUGGGGAAACCCGAUGGAGCAAUACUCCAUCAACCAUGACUGAAUACAUAGGUCAUGGUGGGGAACCGCCUGAACUGAAACAUCUAAGUAGGGCGAGGAAGAGAAAUCAACCGAGAUUCCGCUAGUAGUGGCGAGCGAACGCGGAAGAGGCCAAACCGGAGGUAGCAAUAUUUCCGGGGUUAGGACUGCAAUAUGUAACUUUAAUCUUUAACUGAAUGCUUUGGGAAGAGCAGCGAUACAGGGUGAUAGCCCCGUAAGUGAAAAGGAUUGAGUGCUAGCAGUAUCCAGAGUACCAGCGGACACGUGAAACCCGCUGGGAAGAUGGGGGGACCAUCCUCCAAGCCUAAAUACUACUCAGUGACCGAUAGUGGAGCAGUACCGUGAGGGAAAGGUGAAAAGUACCCCGGGAGGGGAGUGAAAAAGAACCUGAAACCUUGUGCCUACAAGCACCGAGAGCACGUUAAAGUGUGAUCGGGUACUUUUUGUAGAACGGUCCGGCGAGUUAAUAUUUGCAGCGAGGUUAAGGAACUGGAGUUCCGGAGCCGCAGCGAGAGCGAGUCUGAAAAGGGCGUAUGAAGUUGCAGGUAUUAGACCCGAAACCGGGUGACCUAUCCAUGAGCAGGCUGAAGCGGUGGUAAGACACCGUGGAGGGCCGCACCCACGUCUGUUGAAAAAGCCGGGGAUGACUUGUGGAUAGCGGAGAAAUUCCAAUCGAACUCGGAGAUAGCUGGUUCUCCCCGAAAUAGCUUUAGGGCUAGCGUUAUUUUAGAUUACCGGAGGUAAAGCACUGAAUGGUCUAGGGGCCGCGAGGUUACCAAAGCCUAUCAAACUCUGAAUGCCGGAUAAUUGAUGAAUAGCAGUCAGACUGUGUGAGAUAAGUCUCAUAGUCAAAAGGGAAACAGCCCAGAUCUACAGCUAAGGUCCCAAAUGAACACUAAGUGGAAAAUGAUGUGAAACUGCGAAGACAACCAGGAUGUUGGCUUAGAAGCAGCCACUCAUUCAAAGAGUGCGUAAUAGCUCACUGGUCGAGUGGUUUUGCGCAGAAAAUGUAACGGGGCUAAGUGUUCAACCGAAGCUUAGGCAUUGCAGCAAUGCAUUGGGUAGGGGAGCGUCGUAUGCGGGGUGAAGUCAGAGCGGAAGCACUGGUGGACUGCAUACGAGUGAGAAUGCCGGAAUAAGUAGCGAGAAUUAUGUGAGAAUCAUAAUGGCCGAAAAUCUAAGGUUUCUUGGGGAAGGUUCGUCCGCCCAAGGUUAGUCGGGAGCUAAGCUCAGGCCGAAAGGCGUAGGCGAUGCACAUACGGUAGAAAUUCCGUAACCACCGAACAUUUAAGCUAGAGGGACGCUUUCUUUAAGGUUAUCCCGGGCGAUGGUUGCCCCGGGCGUAAGGGACCGAAAUAUAGUAGGGAAGUAACUGGCGAGAGAGACGAGAAAAGCUCUAGUGUAUACUAAGGUGCCCGUACCGCAAACCGACACAGGUAGAUGGGAUGAGUAUUCUAAGGCCAACGGGAGAAGGGUUGUUAAGGAACUCGGCAAAUUGGCCCCGUAACUUCGGGAUAAGGGGCGCCUGCGAGAGCAGGCCGCAGUGAAAAGGCCCAAGCGACUGUUUAGCAAAAACACAGCUCUCUGCUAAAUCGAAAGAUGACGUAUAGGGGGUGACGCCUGCCCGGUGCUGGAAGGUUAAGGGGAGUGCUUAGCAGCAAUGCGAAGGUGCGAACUUAAGCCCCAGUAAACGGCGGCCGUAACUAUAACGGUCCUAAGGUAGCGAAAUUCCUUGUCAGGUAAGUUCUG